rnacentral:rRNA from 1 species
GAUGAACGCUGGCGGCGUGCCUAAUACAUGCAAGUCGAGCGAACAGAUAAGGAGCUUGCUCCUUUGACGUUAGCGGCGGACGGGUGAGUAACACGUGUGUAACCUACCUAUAAGACUGGGAUAACUUCGGGAAACCGGAGCUAAUACCGUAUAACAUUUUGAACCGCAUGGUUCUAAAGUGAAAGAUGGUUGUGCUAUCACUUAUAGAUGGACCCGGGCCGUAUUAGCUAGUUGGUAAGGUAACGGCUUACGAAGGCGACGAGACGUAGGCGAGGUGAGAGGGGGAUAGGCCACACGGGAACUUGAACAGGCACAAGACGCCUACGGGAGGCAGCAGUAGGGUACCUUACGCAGUAGGCGGAAGCCUGACGGAGCAGCGCGGCGUGAGAGAUGGAGGCGCCGGGCUCGUAAAGAUCUGUUUUUAGGGAAGAACCGAUGUGUCCGUAGAUGUGGACGGACUGACGGUAACUAGUAAAGAAGCAACGGCUAACUACGUG